rnacentral:lncRNA from 1 species
UACGGUGUCAUACUUGCCAUCGAGAGCUCUAAGUAUCUUCUUGAUCAUGAAUUUGUCGGUCAUCUCUUCGCUUCCUCACCCGGCAAUCUCAUUGGUGAUGAGAGCUAGCCUAGAGUACACUUCAGCAACACCUUCACCAUCCUUCAUCUUGAACUUGUCAAGCUGACUUUGAAGCACAUCCAACUUAGAUUUUCUGACAAAAUCAGUACCUUCGUGCAUAUCAACCAAAGUAUCCCAAAUUUCUUUUGCAUUCUCAAGACGACUGAUUUUGUUGAAUUCUUCCACGCAUAGGCAGAUGAAGAUGAUGUCGCGCCCUUGAGCAUUAAGUUGCAACAUCUUCUGU